ensembl:lncRNA
AGCUGCUGAGACCCCCUAGAAGUGGUAAUGAAAAGUGUAACUUUAGCCUCCCAGCUGUACGUCUCAAUCCAUAAUCCUUCCCCAAAAACCUCACCAUAGAGCCGCCUGCCACUCCCAUGGCGUGCCCAGCCUACACCUCACCGGGCCUUCACGAUUUAUGUAGCACUCCGGAUUCAUACUCUCAACCCCGUAAAAAAAAAGGAUUUGCUCUCUCUUAUAUGACCCGGGGUGGUCAGGGGAGCACGGUGGAAACACAAAAAAGCCCAGUGUCGGAGCCUCACUCCCCAGAUAUGAUUUCUCCUUCAACACGGGGCCAUACCUUGGGAUACUUUAGGACACCAGGCCGGCGUCCGAGCGACCGGAGAGGUUGGGUGGUGGCAGAUCAGCGUGUGGAAGCCAUUCAGAGUAAUGAAGCAGCCCAGGCCUGUUCAACGGUGCAGCCCGCAGAGAGCCGCUCGAGGGGAGAGCGUUCAGAGCGCCUGCACGCGCGCGGCCUAAUGAGGAAACAAUCAGCUGCAGCGGGUCAUCACUCUCCGGUCUCGAGCCAUACACACACGAGCCACGAUUCACUGCGCACAUUCGUUGUAAGGGUUGUCAAUAGGACCACUGUCCAUCAUCGUCAGUUGACGGACAGACUUGAACCAAAAGACUCAGGAACGGCCCCUUCCCCAUCACCGCUGGCCGUGUCAAGCUUGGAAAUGGAUCCCGGCCGCCUCUGAAGCAUUUAGCACCACAAUUAUCCCCCCAUUCACAGGGCUGCCUGCGCUAAUGUAAACCACACCAGGCACUAGCCGUCAUUCAACCGCAGUAAAAAAAGGCAAUGCAGAAACCCAUCCUCUGUGACAGCAAUUUGACGCAAUUCCGUCCCUGUGUCACCGUUGCUACAAAUAGGGGUCAACUCAUUUAUUAAGCAAUUUCUAGG